UAUUUUUUAGGGUAUGAUCAAACGCAAGCUGGCUUUCUUACUUCAGAUCUCUUCUCAAGUUAUGCUUAUAUCUUAUAUUUUACAUCUUCUUCCUUUUGGGGCUAAAAGUUCAGGUCCCAUCUACAAUGGAUCUAUUUGCUAUGUUUAACUGCUAAAAAAAAUGAUAUUUUUAACUACUUUUACUAGUUAUGCCUGUUUAGUCCAUGUUUGUAGACUGUCUCAUACAGCAAAGCCUUCAGAUGAAAACCUUAGAUGAAGUCUUCAAACACUACUGGAACCUAAAGAUAAAGAUUUCUCUUGGAAGAUCAGUUCUAGAUCAUCAAUAACGUGAGCUAUUCUGCUGCAGAAAAGUGUUCAAAGGUCCUUCACAGAGAGAAACAACAGCUGCCACUUACAAGUAACCGCUUGCAUUCGAGGAACUUGGACAUCCACCGAGUGACCACAUUGACCCAGUUGCUGGUACACUUCUGAGUUCAAAACAACCGCGGAGCAUCUGGACUGCUCUUAGUGCUUCCUCCUGGCAGGAGGAAUGGAAAUCUGACAAGUCCCCAUGGAUCUGAGACUUGGGACAAAUGGUAUCAGCUCCAGGGGCUGAACUCAAAGCACACCCAGCUGUACCAGUGCUACGAGCUGUGGCUUUUAGGAGAAAGUUGGUGGUAACGAAAGCAUAUUGUCAUGUCUAGAUGAUCCAUUGGUCUGUGCUUGGUGGUCUCAGGAUAUUUCAACAGUGGCCACGUGCCUGUGGGAAAAAUCAUCACCCCAGUAGUGUUCAUCUGGGGCAGUUGUUUGCACUUGCAAAAGAAAAGAGAAUAACUGCUUGGAGUUGUACCGGUGUCCCUAUCUCAGCGACUGGGUUUUAUUCCUUGUUCUAGGGAUGGUACCAGCAGGCACAGCAUGGAGAGCUGCAAGCAAUGAGGGAAUUUGCAGUGCCUCUGGAGUGAGACCACCAGAAAGUUUGAAAUGGUGGAGCGGUGCCUUCAACUGAAAUAAAGUUUUCACCUCAAAGACCCCCAAAGGGUUUUUUUUCCUCACCCUAGUACGAGCUCUGUUCUUUGCUGAGUCCCAGCUGAAUUCAGACCAGGAUGGGGAGCGAUGCUCCAGUGUUCCUUGUCUUCUGCUAUGAUUUGUAAAGACUUUAUGCCAACCCUCUAUGUUACUGGCACACUAAAAAAUAAAUGAAUAUAAUUCUCCAAUAUUACCAUCAGUUACCUUUCCUGGAGAUGUUUUUGGCACAUUUUUUUUUUGGUCAAAUUCCUUGGUAAACCUUCAUUCCUCUAUAACGGAUCACAACUUCCAUGCAUUUGUUUCACAAGACCCCAUAGCAUUGUGGUUCACUUCAGUAAUUAUUUACAGUCUCUGUGUUGGAAACUCAGUUUUACCAUGAAAUUUUCAGGCAAAUGAGUCAAAACUGGGUGCAUGCAGCCAUACUUAGGCUUUCUGAGAAAUGUGAUCUCAUUCAGAGAAGUGUCAAGAAUUUUUCUGUGUCAAAGGAAAGCAGAGGUGCUCAGCACCUUUGAAAUACUUUCAAACUCAAGUGUCUAAAUAUAGAUUUAAAAGCCUAAUUUGACAACCUGGUUUUAAAAUGUUGGUCUAGAAAAUUCUGUGGUUUAUGUUUUCUUCCACUUGCAUAUCUACAGAAUUUAAAAGGUCUGGGGCAAUGAACUAUGAAAUACUUGUGACUAUUACAUCUCACAAGCAGUUGCAUUUCAGUAGGGAAUUAGUGGUAAAGACAGUAGAGACUUUUGUUCAAAUUAGGUAAGUGUCAGUUAGAUGAUGGCUCAUUUCCCUUGAGGAGGUUCUAAAUAAUAACAAUAAAUCAUUUUAAAUAUCCUCUAUGUGUAAAAAUCCCAUGAAUUCCUUCAAGACGCAAACUAUGUUUUUACUUUUAUUGCAUAAUAAGUCUAGAGUAAACAAAUAUGUACUAAAAUAUACACAUCCCUUAUGCCAUUUUCUUUAAAACCAGAGAACAUUAAUUUGGUUAGAAGUCAUUUAACCAAGAUUUCUGAUGAACUUUCACUGACUUAUAGGAAUUUACAUUAUGAAUUUGGUUUAACAUCUUGUCUGUUUUUGUUGGGAAAUACUCAGAAAAGCAGUGGGAUCAUCUGGGACAACAAACCCCAAAUCUCUCAAUGUUGUCACUCUCCUAAAAAGCAACAGAUUGCACAAAAGAAUGUUUUGCUCACGAUGUUGGUUUUCGAUUACAGACUGUGUUUUUUUCUGUAUUUGAGUAAUAAAUUGAAAGAAAUGUAGCAAAUUUACCAGUUGCUUAUUGAAAUCUCAUUUAAAAGGUUUUACUUGUCAUUUAUUUCUACUCAAUUAUUCUUUUAUAUGGUCAUAUUACCAGUAGGAAGUUAAAAAGAAAAAAAUUUAUCUCAUGCAUAAAUUUAAUGAUGUCAUUUUUAGGAUCAUCGAUACCUUUUAACAAGCAGUUUUAAAAAUAACCAUGACUUUCAUUGCUGGUGUGAGUUUUCACCACAUACCUGCUGAGCUUCUGAGCAUCUGCAUUAUCUUUAGUAAAAUGACAUGUUUUCCCAGGCUCAGAUAUUUUAAGACAUAUUAAGACGUAAUUUACAAUUUACAUCACUCUUUCCAAACAAACUGUCCCAUGGAAAGUCCCCAGCUGCAAAGGUUUCACCAAAAAGAAAAAAAAAAAAAAGUGAUGAACUGGUAUUUGGCAACAAACCUGACAGACCAUUGUAAAAAUUAAACUCAAGAGGAAAAGGGUGGGGGGUGUCCAGUUUAAAAAAAAAAUAACCAGCUUAUAUUGCCCCUCCCUGUAAGCCUACGAUUUCGCUGCACAACCAGUUCUGUUCUCAAAAG